GGUUUGCAUGAGGGAUAGCAGUGAAAAUCCUCUCUUGUCUCGUUUCUAAAAACGAGACAAGAGAGAUUGUAACGAAUAGCCCGACCGGAG
rfam:Flavobacterium frigoris strain DSM 15719 genome assembly, contig: Ga0131223_104